UGACUGUGACACAGUCUGUAAGCCUCCGGUGAAUUCUGUCACAGUAAAAAAAGUGACACUCAUAAACACGAGGGUGCUCCGUGCGAACGAAAAAUGUACACAGUACAAAAAAAUCUGCAUGUCAAUCACUAAGCAAAUCAAACUGAGAAAUUCAUUCAUGUCUGGUUUGUAUACAACAGAUCUCCACAUAUCUUUGCUGUUGCUCUAAAAUAGGCUGGAUGGUCUGUUCACAAGGACAUCCCACUGAGAUAUAGUCAAUAAAAAAGCCAGGAACAUGCAGUAAGGCACUGCUGCACUCCUGCUCCCAACUCCGCCGUAUGUGACAACUAGCCCCCGACAAACAGAAUACCGGACAUGAACAAAAGGCAGGUGACCCAGCCCAGUCACGUAACUGUGUAAGGGGCGCAACAUGCACUCCAAAUCAGAAAUCAAUACCACAUUACCCACGACUUCCUGCUCCAGAGAACAAUAACAUUAUUUUCAAACUGCAUACCACAAAUUAAAAAGGAAAGCGUAAACACCUGACUAAUCUAUCGGUAACUAAGUUUUGUUCCCACAAUAAAGGGACACCGUGCCCUGUUUGUCCCGUACGGUCUUCCUGUGAUUUCAAGGUGUAACUCCACACUAAAAUCCAUUUUCAGGUUAGUGCUCUAAACCAACUCAAAACUCCUGACACUGUAUCAUACAAGAGAUAGUGACAGUUCUUUAAAAUCCCUAAAAGCAAACCUAAAUGAAAUUCUAAUCAAGAACAAUCCAGCCAGUGAACACAUCUAAGGACAGCAUAUGCCCACAGCAAGCACAGUCUCAGUGUCUCAGUGUUUAAGGAGUACUCUAAGGCAAUGAACUUGAAGUAUGUGAAGCAUGCGUAGUUCUCUUAGGUUUACUUAGGUUCUAAUGCUCCAUUUACGUCUGGAUAAAAUAUGAGUUACCUUCCAUUCUAGCUGGAGAGGACGAGGGCGGAGGGUCCGGCGUGCCGAGGAAAGAGAGAAGGGGGAAACACGAGUGCCCGGUGAACAGGGAGGUGUGAAAAGCCUCACUGAAGAUCUCAGCGCCUCACUGAUGCACUCCAGGCUGGGCCACAUCAAAAGACAAAGGCUGCUCGUCGCAUUAACCGACACUUCGCACAACCAAGGCAAGGGCAUUUACCAGGAGAGGACA
rnacentral:lncRNA from 1 species